GAGAAAGUAUGCAAGAGCUGCUAACUCAUGCUACCGUGCUUAAACGCACGGCUUUCUUAC
rnacentral:tRNA from 1 species